GACCAUUUUUUUUCCUGAUGGAGAUUUAGGUUGCCCAUGUUCCUCCUUCAACCAGAAUUUCCAGCAACGACACGAUUCUCCAUGUGGGGGUAUUUGAUCUGUUGGUCCCAGUUAUCCUGGUUCUGAAGAAAUUGUUGCCCUUUGGCAUACAUAAGCGUGAGUAAUCGACAGUCCACGCAAAUAGCAAAUUUCCACAACAAUUAAUUACAUUUCUAAAGCGCUUCCUGAUAAAAUUCACAUAGUGUUUGCGUGUGUGCGCCAAAACCAAGCCCUGGAAAAGCCGGAUGGACGGGUCAGACCCGUUUGGCUGAACAGGAGGAGGCCAGAGGAUUUAUUAAACCUCAAUCUCCGUGUUGUGGAUUCUUAACCGCUGCUGACAAACCAUGGGGUGAUGGAGAGACUGGAGACAACCCAGGCUAGCCCUCAUUGAACAGACGAGAAGAAGGUGAAUUGUCCACACCCCGCCGGCAGCGAAGCCUGCGUCUUCUCUAACAAAGAUAAGGAUUCUGAGCACCGCGUUCCUGUCUGUCUCCCCUGCAGUUCCCUGAGGCUUCUGAACCUGGAAGGCAGGGUCCCCACUCCCAGUGUUCGCUGCUGUGUUGUGGGGCCUUGUCUGUGACCAAUAUGUGGCAUCUUCUAAAUAUACAUUGAAAAUUGUUGGAUGAAUGAAGAAAUGAAGGACGACGUCCUGGAUGACCUGCUACUGUACAACGAGAUCCUGGGCAGACAAGGAAAACUGCUUUCUGGACACGGCUGGGAUUGUGAUAAAGUGAAUGAGUGUCUAAAGAGAAGCGGAAAAACAAGCUGUGAGCUGAGACGGGACAGGCGGACAGGUGAGUAAGAGAGGUGGGGCUGCCCAGCGGAAAUCUUAACUGACCCAUGGGUAAGAGAAAGGAAGCCGUGGGCCCUCGGUUCCUUUCGAGCCAGGACCCCAAGGGGAAGAAAGUGUCGGUGGUGCCUGGGGUCCCGGAAGAACCCAGCGAGAAGCCCCCCAGAGGCUGGUCUCUGUCUUAAGGCCUGUCCCUUAAGUGAUCCUACAGAUUCAUGUCAUCCUAAUCUGAACUCAUAAUGACAAACCAGAAGGUGCACAAGCAGCUAAAAUGAGCUGAAGUUUGCAAAAAGCCUGUUAGAUUCACACCUUCAAGGACUGGAGAGAUUGGCACGCUCAGAUAGAGGAUAUAAAACAGCCAUGUAUGAGAUGCCUUAAAAAUAAAACGAGACAAAAAAAAAAAAAAGAAAGCAAGAGAGGUUAUGGACGAUAACCAAGUAGAUGUGAAAGGAGCCAAAUGGAACAUGGCCUGGGGCCACGGGUCCCGGAACCAGUUCCAGGGCCUGGUCCUGCAUCUGCUACCCAGGGCCCGCUCUUCUCUGUUCCCUGGAAACCAAACGAUUGGAGAGCCCCCAUAGUGGAUGCAGCUUGAUCCACACAGUGGGAAAUGCGUGGGGCCCCACCCUGUCCACUACCUCUCCUCCUUGCCAUUGUCUGGGACCGUGGCCCCUGCUGGAUGCCACUACAUGGCUGGAGGAAUGCUGGCUACCUCGUCCUCUCCCAUUUUUGGUGCACCUCAGCCCAGUCAUCACUCCUGCUAGCAUCGUCAUCUCAGCAGGUGGGCUGCCAUGACUGCACCUGACCUUCUCCUUUGGACGCGUUGUCCAUCUCCAUCGAGUCGAGUCACACGGGCUCCGGGUUAGACUUGGGAGGUGCUCUGCUCCCGUUCAUUGGGAGGUGGUAGCCCACUGGGCACAUGAUGCCCCUCCCAGGCCAUCUUGUCCUCUGCUCCUCAUCCUCUCCUUCAGACUCUUCUCCACAGGGGCCCUUUCUGGCUUCAUCCGUGAGGACGGCAGGGAGCUGCUCACGUGGAGAAUUUUGCAGGUGCUUCUCCCCUCCCAGUCAUCCUGAGAUGGAGGAGUGCUCCGGGCUUCCACGCUGGGGCUGGUUCGGAGAGAAGCACGGAAGAAGACGGGGAGCGGGGAGCAGAGGCGAGGGUCCCGUCCUUCACCCCGAUCCUUCCCCGGGAGGCCAUGGGACAUGGAUGGUUGUCCACGUGGUUCAUUGAGUAGAACAUUUAGAUGAGACUCUCGUGAAUUCUGCCAUCUUCUUCCGGUAAAAGGGAGGGAAAGCAGUAGAAAUUCUAUCUGCCAGCUUGAUAACCAAUGAGGAAAUAUCCUGAGUUCUUUCUGGGCCAGAUUUUAUUACCAUCUGCCUUGAGCGCUCUGAAUGGAGGUUGUCAGCUUUUUUCAAUUCUGGUCACUGGGGCUGUGACGAGGAGCAGCUGUACAUAAUUCCUAUUUCUCCCCAGACACCAGGAACCAGGGAUUAUUAAAAUAGAAACCUCUAAAAAGGAAUUUUAAUUAUGGCUAUUGACUUCUACAAUCAGUGUAACAUUAUUUAACAUUAUCUCUAAUUUAUUUUUGCGGAUUAUAGAGUUAACGUACACUUUGCAUACUAGGUUUGGAGAGUAUAGAAAAUAUAAAAGAAGCGGGAAAAUGUCGUUCACAAUGCCCCACUUGGCAGGAAGAAUCUCAGUACGGGCCUCUGUCUAUUCCUGCUGUAUCUCGGCGGGAUUGAGCUCUUUUCUUUCCGUAGCUGAGUUCAUGAUGCAAGCGCAGUUUGGUUCAUGUUUUCCUGUUUCUUUUUCUUGAUAUUAUAGCUUUUUUCCCCCGGUAUCACUAACAACUUCCUUUCGACGGUGUUUAGCACUGGUUUGUGAGUUUCUGUUGUGCAUGCUAACUUAUUUAACAAUUCCCUAAGUGAAGGGACGGCCAAGUUAUUUUCAGUUUUCCACCUAUAAAUCCUGCUGUGGUAAAUAUCUUUGUGAUUACAUCUUGGUUUGCAUUUCAGAUUCUUUCCUGAGGUUGAACCGUAUGGACGUGCUCAAGGCUCUUAACUCUUACUAUCGAAUUGUCUUCUGGAAACAAUGCUGUACCAAUGUAACUCUGUGUGAGUGAGGGCCCCUCCUACCUUCUUGGACGCUGACUGUUCAGCAUAAAUUUUAGCAGCAAUUUUGGUUACAGCUAUGUUGACAGCUGAGUUUAUUCCAGAUCUUUCUAAGUAAACCAGCAUAACUAUAAAGGAGUCCUUGGGCUCUAAAACUCCCAUCCUGAUCCAUGUCCUUUCCCAGAACAUGAUGAGAUGUGUCAGGCUCACGGGACGGGGUCCUCGGUGUCCUGUGCAUUCCCAGUUCCGUGAAUCUGUGGAGUUUUGCAAUGGGCCCGUUGGGAAAGAAGAGGCGAGGCUGGGCAGCCUGUGGGAAGAGCGUCUGCAGGCGAGACGGGACCUGCGUGGAGCUCAUCUGACGUCAGGCGUUGGCCAAAUCUUGCUGAGUUGCAUAGCCGCCCUGAGGCAGACCCGAUAAGAACAUUCCAGAAAGCAGACCUUCAGGGCAAGACAGGGGACUGGUAACAGGGAGCUCAUCCAACUCCAAACAGCAACACUGAGAAAGCCCAGGCAGCUCCGGCAGCUGUGUGAGCCCCUCUCAAACCAUGCACGUCCCUUUGAUGAGGCCCCGGGGGGUAGGGGGACCUUAGGGGCGAGCUCUUGCUGAAGCAGCCGUGCAUCCCUCACGGGGUCUGCUGGGCAUGUCGAUGCUGAGUCCUUUAAGGCUUGAAGUGACUUCAGAGGGUGUGUGCGCGUGUGUGAGAGGGCGUGGGUGUGUGUGUGAGCCAGAGAGAGAUGUGCGUGUGUGCGUGUGGGUGUGAGUCUGUGUGUGCGUGAGUGUGUCUGCGUCAGUGUGUAUGACUUCUGGGACAUAAACCAACAUUUGGAGAAACAAGAAUCCUGUGGAUUCUGCAUAGCUGCAGAAGCCUCUCUUCAAGGGGCCUCCUUCCCGAAGAUGCCAACUACAGACGCCCCUUGGAGGGUAUUCGUGGGCACAGGAGGUGUGACCAGGGAACGUGCUAGAGGCCCUGGACCCCUCUGAGGAGCACCCAGACCCUCGGUGCUCAUAGUGAUGGUGAAUCCGUCAAUGACUGGGGGCAUCGCUGUCUACGAAAGGCUGUCCUGGCGGCCGCUGGCUGAGUGUGGAUCCCCCUGCACGCGCCCAGAGGGGCUCCGUGGACAUCCAUGCACUGGCUGGCUUUGCGGUCAUCUUUCUAAAUGCUGGCUCCACUUUCAGCGACGUCUUUCCAGGGGCCUCGAGUCAGGUUUCACAGGUAUCACGGGCCCGGGUUUAGCAUGGGAACCCCUGUUUGCACACUUGAACUUGUGGGACAGUGGGCUCAGCUCUUGGGUCGGCCUGGUCCCAGUUACUGGGGUGCAGUGGGGGAGGCCCCCACAGUAGUUCCAGCCAGGGCUGUGCACAGGCCGUGGAUGGCGGUGCCCUGGUCCUCCCAACGCCAUCUCAGCUGUUGCGGACCCUUCCUGCUGCACCAGGUCUUUCCUGAUCCCUGCCCUGCGCUAGAGGAGAAACGGAGGCAAGUGGACAGCUACCUCCCUGGGGUCUCACGGGGGCUCUGCCUUGCCUCAGGGGUCUGGCCAGUCCUCACUGGACACCCCGUCAUUUCCGCAGGAAUCAAGAUGGAGACCCGAAGGGCUGAUCUCAGGCUAAAAAUCCUCCUAGCUUCAAGGUAAAUAACAGAAAGAGGUAAUUUCCUAAAAGUAUGUCUGAGUUGGCUGGAUGGACGGACGGGAACUCUGGGACUUGCACCCUGCUUUGUUCCCUCAGAGGCACUGAUGGAAGCACGUGCAGUCUCCCUGGCCUCCCCAGGCCUGUCCUGCGGCCCUCCAGGAGCAAAGCCACGGCCCCUGGCCCUCCACCCAUAGCCUGACCCAAAGCCUGGCUCUGCUCCGGGUCCCCUGAUAGGCCAACCCCCUGGGGGUAACAGAGCAGAUGUGGGAUCAGCCCCACCCAACCAGUCAGUGCCUCACUCCCCGGUUGACCUUGCUGCCGCCGGCCAUUCCUGCAGGCAUGAUUCACCCAGUGGGUUGCAGGGACCUGCAGCCCCACCGUAGGGCGUGUGGCCCGCGGGCUGUGCCUCGGCGGUGCCCUCCCAGUUGAGGGUCCAAGCUCCCAACCAGGCCUUCCUGCUCCACUUCAGCACAGACUCCCUGCUUCUGAACUCUCAGAGGAGGGAUGCAGGUUGAGCAAUGGUCGAGCAUCAGACACAGCGCUUGGUGUUGAGGCUGCAGGGGCAGGUGGCAUCCGCCUGCUGUCACACAGCCUUCAAGGUAGCGAAGCUGAGAUGCAAAGCCACGUUUCUGGGGCACUCUGAUGGACACACCUGGCUGCACGAGUCCAGGAGAAUAACGCUGAAGUCCCUCCCCUCUCGUCGUCUGACUUUCUGAUGCCUACAGCAGAACUUCAGAUACCCAACGGGGCAAGUACAGACCCAACAAAGAAGUUUCUCCAAAUUCCUGCCAAUUAAAGAAUUAAGUAAUGGUCCUGCGUUCUCACAAACACCUAAUCCAGAUUUCUGCGAAACCUUUCACUUCCUUUAAAUACCAAGUGUGCGUAGAUUGGCCCUGCGCUCAGGAAUAACCGCUGCCAAAUGUUAAGUCAGCGGGGUUGGCCUCCCUGGUCACCUCGCCACCUACAGGGGCCGAGUGAUGCCCCUGGGCCCCAGGGAGCAGUUGUGUCAUUUUACUGUUUUACUGGGACCUGGGCACCUCGAAUGUCCAGGGUCAUUGCGCUUGCACAAUAGAAAGAAGGACACACAAGUCGUUUCUCUGGUUGCCCUGGCAACCAGGGACUCCAUGUCCACAUGUUGGAGGGGGCUCUGCUCCAGUCGGGACCCCAGACAGUCCUUUCAUGAUGUCCUUUGCUGCCCGGCUGAGUCCUGCAGUCUCACUGGUGACAGCUCCACCGAGUUGCUCGUGGACAUCCAAUGGGGUCUCCACAUCUCCGUGGGCUCCAGCUACCUCCACCUGCGGCCCCUCCAUCCCUACCCCCAAGGGCAUGGUCUGGGGACUCACGUCUGCCCUCCGACAGGGGCCAGAAAUUCUGGGGAAACAGGAGCUGCAGAGACUCUGCUCAUGUGACAGCCCAGAGAGAGAGUGACGGUCGGGGUCCAACCAACGGGUGCGGAGAGGAGGGAGGAGAUAAGGCAGAUUUGGGGGAAGGGGUCCUGGGGAGGUAAGCCCGGGAAGGACUUUGGUCGGCUUUGUCCUCUGCUGAGCCCAGCGCUAGAAAUCGGUAUCUGAUUGUGUGUCUGAGCAGCAGGACUUUGGGUUGGGGAAGGAGAGAGGAGGAACAGAGAGCAGUCAGCUGUCGGGACUGGGAGAAGGCAGGUAUGAAA